UACGUAGGGUGCAAGCGUUGUCCGGAAUUAUUGGGCGUAAAGAGCUCGUAGGCGGUCUGUCGCGUUCUGCUGUGAAAAUCCAGGGCUCAACCCUGGACCUGCAGUGGGUACGGGCAGACUAGAGUGCGGUAGGGGAGAUCGGAAUUCCUGGUGUAGCGGUGAAAUGCGCAGAUAUCAGGAGGAACACCGGUGGCGAAGGCGGUUCUCUGGGCAUGACCUGACGCUGAGGAGCGAAAGUGUGGGGAGCGAACAGG
rnacentral:rRNA from 1 species